UACGAAGGGGGCUAGCGUUGUUCGGAAUUACUGGGCGUAAAGCGCACGUAGGCGGAUAUUUAAGUCAGGGGUGAAAUCCCGGGGCUCAACCCCCGGAACUGCCUUUGAUACUGGGUAUCUCGAGUCCGAGAGAGGUGAGUGGAAUUCCGAGUGUAGAGGUGAAAUUCGUAGAUAUUCGGAGGAACACCAGUGGCGAAGGCGGCUCACUGGCUCGGUACUGACGCUGAGGUGCGAAAGCGUGGGGAGCAAACAGG
rnacentral:rRNA from 1 species